rnacentral:rRNA from 1 species
UCCGUAGGCGGUUUAAUAAGUCAGUGGUGAAAGCCCAUCGCUCAACGGUGGAACGGCCAUUGAUACUGUUAGACUUGAAUUAUUAGGAAGUAACUAGAAUAUGUAGUGUAGCGGUGAAAUGCUUAGAGAUUACAUGGAAUACCAAUUGCGAAGGCAGGUUACUACUAAUGGAUUGACGCUGAUGGACGAAAGCGUGGGUAGCGAACA